GUGCUCGCUUUUUCAGCAGCACAUAUACUAAAAUUGGAACAAUACAGAGAAGAUUAUCAUGGCCCCUGUACAAGGGUGACAUGCAAAUUCAUGAAGCAUUCCAUAUUUUU
ensembl:snRNA U6 U6 spliceosomal RNA